rnacentral:rRNA from 1 species
UACGUAGGGGGCGAGCGUUGUCCGGAUUUAUUGGGCGUAAAGAGCGUGUAGGCGGCCUGAAAGGUCAGCUGUGAAAACUCGAGGCUCAACCUCGAGACGUCGGUUGAAACCAUCUGGCUAGAGUCCGGAAGAGGAGAGUGGAAUUCCCGGUUUAGCGGUGAAAUGCGCAGAUAUCGGGAAGAACACCCGUGGCGAAGGCGGCUCUCUGGAACGGUACUGACGCUGAGACGCGAAAGCGUGGGGAGCGAACAGG